CCUACGGGUGGCUGCAGUAGGGAAUCUUUCACAAUGGGCGAAAGCCUGAUGGAGCAACGCCGCGUGCAGGAUGAAGGCCUUCGGGUUGUAAACUUCUUUUAUCAGCGAGAAAUAUGAUGGUAACUUAUGAAUACGGCUCGGCUAACUCCGUGCCAGCAGCCGCGGUAAUACGGAGGGUGCAAGCGUUACUCGGAAUCACUGGGCGUAAAGAGCGCGUAGGCGGGAUGGCAAGUCAGAUGUGAAAUCCUAUGGCUUAACCAUAGAACUGCAUUUGAAACUGUUAUUCUAGAGUAUGGGAGAGGCAGGUGGAAUUCUUGGGGUAGGGGUAAAAUCCGUAGAGAUCAAGAGGAAUACUCAUUGCGAAGGCGACCUGCUAGAACAUAACUGACGCUGAUGCGCGAAAGCGUGGGGAGCAAACAGGAUUAGAUACCCUAGUAGUC
rnacentral:rRNA from 1 species